rnacentral:rRNA from 1 species
GAUGAACGCUGGCGGCGUGCCUAAUACAUGCAAGUCGAGCGAUCAGACGCGGAGCUUGCUCCUCUGAUGUUUGCCGCGGGCGUGUGAGUUACACGUGGAUCAUCUCCUUAUCACUCUGGUAUGCCUUCGGGACUCCGUCUCUUAUUCCGUAUUACAUAUUACACCGCAUUGUUCUAUAGUGAAGGACUACUUUUCUUUCAUUUAUUGAUGGCUCCGCGCCGCAUUAGUUAGUUGGUAAGGUAACGGCUUACCAAGGCGUAGAUGCGUAGCCGACCUGAGAGGGUGAUCGGCCACACAGGAACUGAGACACGGUACAGACUCCUACGGGAGGCAGAAGUAGGGAAGCUUCCGAAAUGGGCGAAAGCCUGAAGGAGCAACGAAGCGUGAGUGAUGAAGGUCUUCGGAUCGUAAAACUCUGUUAUUAGGGAAGAACAAAUGUGUAAGUAACUAUGCAAGUAUUGACGGUACCUAAUCAGAAAGCCACGGCUAACUACGUG